GACGAACGCUGGCGGCGUGCUUAACACAUGCCAGUCGAACGGUGAAGCGCUUUCCUUUUUGGUUGGUGUGGAUGAGUGGCGAACGGGUGAGUAACACGUGAGUAACCUGCCCCCUUCUUCUGGAUAACCGCAUGAAAGUGUGGCUAAUACGGGAUAUUCUGCGCCUGCUGCAGGGUGGGUGUGGGAAAGAUUGUGCCUUUGGUGGUUUUCGGUGGGGGUUGGGGUGGCGGCGUGUCAGCUUGUUGGUGUGGUGAUGGCCUAGCAGGGCGGUGAGGGGUAGCGGGGGUGAGAGGGUGGCCGGUCGGAAUGGGACGGGGACACGGGCGAGUAUGCUACGGGAGGGCGGAGUGGGGAAGAUAGCAGAGGGGGCGGUAGCCUGAUGGAGCGAAGCCGGGUGAGGGAGGGAGGCGUUCGGGUUGUGAACCUCUUUGGCAAGUAAAGCAGGACUGAUCCUUGUGGGUGGGUUGACGGUAGCUGGAUAAGAAGCACCGGCUAACUACGUG
rnacentral:rRNA from 1 species